rnacentral:rRNA from 1 species
GGAUGCAAUCGCCUAGAUGUCAACUCAGACAAUAUUGAAGUCAUCAACACAAUGAAGAAUGGAGGACGAUCAGCGGGAGCGGCGGCGGCGGUUUUUGAUGAUUGCUAUUUUUUGGCUUGUGAUUUUUCUCUUACUAGGUUUGAGCAUUGUAAUAGAGAGGCAAAUAGGGUGGCUCAUGAACUAGCUAGAUUAGCGAAAAUUUCCGUAACAAAUGAAUAUUUUGAGGAACCCAUGGAUGAAAUUGUACCUCUUCUUAUGGACGAUGUAACUGUUAUUUGCAAUUAA